CGACUCUCGGCAACGGAUAUCUCGGCUCUCGCAUCGAUGAAGAACGUAGCGAAAUGCGAUACUUGGUGUGAAUUGCAGAAUCCCGUGAACCAUCGAGUCUUUGAACGCAAGUUGCGCCCGAAGCCACUAGGCUGAGGGCACGUCUGCCUGGGUGUCACG
rnacentral:rRNA from 1 species